UACGGAGAGGGCUAGCGUUGUUCGGAAUUACUGGGCGUAAAGGGUACGUAGGCGGUUUAGUAAGUCAGUGGUGAAAGCCUGCAGCUUAACUGCAGAAUUGCCAUUGAUACUGAUGAUCUUGAGUAUGAUUGAGGUGGGCGGAAUGUGUCAUGUAGCGGUGAAAUGCUUAGAUAUGACACAGAACACCGAUUGCGAAGGCAGCUCACUAAGUCAUAACUGACGCUGAUGCACGAAAGCGUGGGGAGCAAACAGG
rnacentral:rRNA from 1 species